CAGCAACCGCGGUAAUACGUAGGUCCCGAGCGUUGUCCGGAUUUAUUGGGCGUAAAGGGAGCGCAGGCGGUUUAGUAAGUCUGAAGUUAAAGGCAUUGGCUCAACCAAUGUAUGCUUUGGAAACUGUUAGACUCGAGUGCAGAAGGGGAGAGUGGAAUUCCAUGUGUAGCGGUGAAAUGCGUAGAUAUAUGGAGGAACACCGGUGGCGAUAGCGGCUCUCUGGUCUGUCACUGACGCUGAGGCUCGAAAGCGUGGGGAGCAAACAGGAUUAGAUACCCCGGUAGUCCCUGUCUCUUAUACC
rnacentral:rRNA from 1 species